rnacentral:rRNA from 1 species
CCUACGGGUGGCAGCAGUGGGGAAUAUUGGACAAUGGGCGCAAGCCUGAUCCAGCAAUGCCGCGUGUGUGAAGAAGGUCUUCGGAUUGUAAAGCACUUUCGACGGGGACGAUGAUGACGGUACCCGUAGAAGAAGCCCCGGCUAACUUCGUGCCAGCAGCCGCGGUAAUACGUAGGGGGCCAGCGUUGCUCGGAAUUACUGGGCGUAAAGGGUCCGUAGGCGGUGUAGCAAGUCGAUAGUGAAAUCUCUGGGCUUAACCCAGAGGCUGCUAACGAAACUGCUGUGCUAGAGUGUGAGAGAGGCGAGUGGAAUUACGGGUGUAGCGGUGAAAUGCGUAGAUAUCCGUAGGAACAUCCGAGGCGAAGGCGGCUCGCUGGAUCACAACUGACGCUGAGGGACGAAAGCUAGGGGAGCAAACAGGAUUAGAUACCCCUGUAGUC